CUCUGGUUAACUGCAUCUGGAUUGCUGGGAAGCAGAAUGGAUGAGACUAGAGAAAAUACUCCCACUGACUACUCAUCAUCCGUUACAGCUGUUUAAAGGAGAUGCGCACUCCCAAAUUCACGAAAGACCAAAUGAACAAACAAGCUUAUCGGUGUGUUUCGCGAUGGAGAGCCAGAACUUUACGCACGGACCUGUUUCCACAAAUGAGACUCAGGUUCAGCAUCAACAUGCGAACGUGACAAUCGCAAUCGCUGUACCGAUUUUUAUGUUCGCCGGAGGCGCCAUUGGGAAUUUAAUUGCCAUAAUCGUCCUUUCAGUAUCAAGACAGGAGAGGAAAUCUUCAGCUUUCUACACGCUGGUGUGCGGUCUGGCGGUGACGGACCUGCUGGGCACCUGCCUGGCCAGUCCGGUCACCAUAGCCAACUACCUGUACGAUGAAGUGCUGAAGGGACGUGUCUGCGAGUUUGACUCCUUUUUGUUGCUGUUUUUCGGGUUAACAGGACUGAGCAUCAUAUGCGCCAUGGCAGCAGAGCGGUACCUGGCUAUAUGCUGCCCGUACACCUACCAGCGGUGGCGGGUGGACCGACGCUUAGCGCAAAAGUUCCUUUUCUUCAUUUACAUCAGCCACAUCUUCCUCUGCUGCCUGCCGAUGAUGGGCAUGUCGAAGAGCAAGCUGCAGCCGUGUGGCGAGUGGUGCUUCAUCGAAUGGAGGCCAGAAGAGCCCGUGGCCACCGCUUACUCCGUCCUGUACGGCGUCAUCAGCCUGCUGCUCAUCCUAGGCACCAUCGUGCUGAACCUGGCGGUGUGCGGAGCGCUGCUGCUGAUGCGGCAGAGGACCGCGCAGCGGCCCGUCACCACAGCCAGCGUCGGGCAGAGGUGGAGUGCUCUGUCCUCGGCUGCAGAGACGCAGAUGAUCGCGGUGCUGGUGAUGACCUCCGUGGUGGUUCUGGCAUGUUCAGCCCCGUUGGCGGUGCGUGUGUUUGCCAACCACUUCAUGACGCAAAAUGACCCUGCUAACCUGGCUGCCAUCCGGAAUGCCGCUGUGAACCCCAUCCUGGACCCCUGGAUCUACAUCCUCCUCAGGAGGUCACUGUUUCGACGGUUACUCAGUUUAUACAGGCGAUGUAGAAGCACUCGCAGAAGUUCAUCUCCUAAAACACAAAGGAACCGGUUUUAUCCCGAACCCAUGAGGGAGAGCCACGUGUUCACCCAGCUGAUGUGCAAUGCAAACAUCAUGACUCAGCUGCCUGCCACCGUCAACUUCACUCCGCACAACGCAGAGAGCCUCUGCUUGACCUAAACAACGAAGACGUGGUUGACACCUAUGAAUGUCUGGUGCUCUCAGGCUGCGAGCAGCUCGAUGCGGGGACUUUGUCUCAGAGCUGUCGUCAGUGGGAUGGAAAGACUGACGUCUCUGCCGACCCGCAGCUGGACAGGACCCUCAGGGUUACUGAAAGAUUAUUUAUUUAAUAAAAGUAGACUGCUGAUCUGCAUCUAUAGACGACUCCUGCAGUGAUGCAGGACAGAAUAAACUAUGUGACUUGGAUGUUAUUACCGAAGUGCAACAAUAAGACACGGUCCAGCCUUUGUGUUGUGCCUUUCACCGUCUUCCAGCUUCGCCUCAUACAAUUGGGGCUCUGGCUUCAUCACACCUUAAUCAGUGUGAUGCUACAGGAAUAUACAGCUCAUUUCAUCUGGAGGUUCAAUUGACCAGAGCCUCUUGGAAGAUCCUGUGCGAAAAGUCAUGUAUUCAUAUAACAGUGCAUGGAUAUCACAAGGUUUUACUUGAGGUUUUGUCAUGGAGGCCUACAGGUAGGGUCAUUUGGAGCCUAUUAAAGACCCUAGCUUGAGCCUUGGUGUCUUUUGUCUCUACCGUUUUAGACUUGAAUGGAUCCCAUGUUGCAUUUCAUGUUGAAAUAUUCAACUCUGUACCUUUAUCCAGCAGUGCAUGGGGUCAGCAGCUUUCAGUUUUUUCAGGUCAGAUUCAGUUUCUGUCGAGGAACAUAUAAAAAAAAAACAGCGUGUAGGAAGUCAGUCACACACUCACUUGGCCAUCAACUAUUCUUUUUGGUUUCCUAGACUUCGACCAUAUCGGUGCUGAACUUACAUGUGCACGUCAUACACUGGGAAGAGUGUGGUUCAAGGAGUUUCAGCGAAGGAGGGAGGCAACAUACCGGUAACUUUAACAUCGUGACAGGGAUGACGACUGAGCUCCAUCUGCAGGAUCUUGUUCAAAAUGUCUCCCCAGAACCUUUGGCAGUUCCAAGUGGUCAGGCUGACUCACCUUGUUGUAGAGGAAGACCCCGACAAUGGCCGUCAUCAUGCCCAUGACGUUUGUGAGGGAGACCGGGUUGCGCAGCAUCAGCAGCGAGAUGCUAAUGACCAUGAUCCUCUUGGUGGCGUUGGCGACGGCGUAGCUGAGCGGGCUGACGAUGUUCAGCACGCUGAAGGCGAUGACGUUCUGAGCGAAGUUGCAGAAGCCACUGAUGAGCAGGAGGACAAACGUACCCGUCCACCCGGAGACGUCUGCCUGUAAGGAAAGCAGCGAGGGUCAGGCUACGUUCAGGGUCAUGAAACAAGCUCCCACCACCGCAACAGGCGGUGUAAAUGUCACGAGAAAGACGGUACCGCUACUCACCAGAUCUCCGUUAACAAGAAACACUGAGAGAUCCACCAGAACCCAGGUGGGCACCAUGAAGAUAACAGCAUUAAAGCCCAGGAUGUUGAGCAGCCUCAAGUGGUGGAUAUUUGUGUCACGCAGCACCUAUAGAGAGGAAGGAUCAGUUCAGAACAAUGUGGUAGAAAAAUAAACAACUGCUCCAGCGAAGGAGAUGAAGAUGUAUAGAUUUGGGGUUUUUAUUGUUACGAUACUUCCUGUUCCUCCACUACGACCUUAAUCAACGUGAUUUUGCUAUUUCACUUUGAUGUUAUAAAAAGAAAACGAUCACCGAGUCAGAAGGAAGAUUUAUGCAAGGGUCAGUAAAAU